rnacentral:lncRNA from 1 species
GCAGAACGUGUGUCAGUUCACUCAGUCCCAGGAGCCCUGCAAAGCUGGCAUUAUUCUUCUCAUUCCAUAAAGAAGGAAACUGAGGCUAGGCAGAUUACGGGACUUGCCUCAAGUCCCACUGCUUGGAAGUGGCAAAGCCAGGAUUCCAGUCUAGGUUGGUCUGACUCCAAAGACUUAGUCCAGCGCUGAGCCCUAAGCACGAGGUUGUGGGAGAUGCCACUUGCUGUGCCUCCCUGAGCAACCCAGCCAGACUGCAGUUUGUUCUGUUCCAUCGAAGAUCACAGCUCAGAGACUCUCUUCUGUUUUUUAUCCACCGGAACCUCCAAGAAAAGCCACUGACAAGAUUAAGACAAUAUUAGAGAGGCAACUGAGAUAUAGAAGAGACAUCACAGGAAGCAGGAAACCACUCUGUCUUGAGCCGCCUACUAUGUGCUUUAUGACCUAUUUGUUUGCCCGAUGCCUUUUAUGGAUGAAGCCCGAGUCUCCCAUGCGGUGUGGCGCUUCCUCACCACAGAGCAGCUUUCCCCGGCCGGGAACCGCUGUCUGACGCCCUGCUCUGGUCCAACAACCGGUUCAAACGCGG